rnacentral:rRNA from 1 species
CGUGUAGGCGGGACGGUAAGUAUCUUGUGAAAGCCCCGGGCUUAACCCGGGAACUGCUUGGUAUACUGCCGUUCUUGAGGCAGGUAGGGGUUACUGGAACCUUAGGUGGAGCGGUGAAAUGCGUAGAUAUCUAAGGGAACGCCUGUGGCGAAAGCGGGUAACUGGACCUGAUCUGACGCUGAGACGCGAAAGCGUAGGGAGCGAACAGGAUUAGAUACCCUGGUAGUCC